rnacentral:rRNA from 1 species
GAAGUUCCGUACUACGGAGUAGUUUGAGUCCCUGGCUACAGGACGAAACGCUGGCGGCGUGCCUAACACAUGCAAGUCGAACGAGAAUCUAUGGAAAGAGGCUUCGGCCAAUUGAAGUAGAGGACAGUGGCGGACGGGUGAGUAACGCGUGAGCAACCUGCCUCGGAGUGGGGGACAACAGGGGGAAACCUCUGCUAAUACCGCAUAAUGUCAUUGGGUGGCAUCACUUAAUGACCAAAGAUUUAUUGCUCUGAGAUGGGCUCGCGUCUGAUUAGGUAGUUGGUGAGGUAACGGCUCACCAAGCCUACGAUCAGUAGCCGGGUUGAGAGACUGAACGGCCACAUUGGGACUGAGAUACGGACCAGACUCCUACGGGAGGCAGCAGUGGGGAAUAUUGGGCAAUGGGCGAAAGCCUGACCCAGCAACGCCGCGUGAAGGAAGAAGGCUUUCGGGUUGUAAACUUCUUUUACCAGGGACGAAGGACGUGACGGUACCUGGAGAAAAAGCUCCGGCUAACUACGUG